rnacentral:lncRNA from 1 species
CACAGUGCCUGGCAUGCCCAGUACAGUCACAUCAACAACUGACAGACCAUGCUGUCUACAGCAGGAAGGCAAGAAGUGAUCCCAGCCUCCAGAUGGAAAGAUCAAGGCCCAGAGAAGGACCCCCAUACCCUGCUCCCAGCAUCGUCUGCCUCAGCUAAGCCAUGGGGAUUGAGAGAAUGGAGCUAAAGGGCACAGCUCAUAGUCCUGGCUGCCCUAGCCAGACAUCUGCCCCACUGUGGGUGCCUCAGCGAUUCCUGGGGAGUCAGGCAAUACCUGUUCCCAGAGCCCCCACUUCUCUUAGAAACAGAAAAUAGCUCUGGGCCUCAUAAGUGCCAGGAUCUAUCUAAGCACUUGGUGUGUGUUAGCUCACUGUACCCUCAGAGGAGGUAAUUGAGGCACAAGAGAGGGUGAGUAAUCUGCCUGAACAGAUGGUAAGUGGUUAAGGCAGGACUUAAACUCAGAAAUCUGAUUUCAGAGACUUUUUUUUUU